rnacentral:lncRNA from 1 species
AAGGCGCGCUACCCGGAUCAGCAGGAGAAGUUCUUCGAGCAAGCCGCUCAGGGACUCGGCAGGCGCGAGGCCAUGUACUCCUUCCUCGCGCUCGCGGGCCCGGCCGCGUGCCUCGUCUUCGGCGCCAAGGGCUCCAAGGACGCCAAGCUCCCCAUCACCGUCGGUCCCCAGAAGGAGCCCCAGCUCGGUCCCCGCGAUCGCCUCUAAAUUGGUCUCUUCAAUUUUUUUGGCGAGACGGACAAGGGGAAAACACCAAUACGCAUGGUUGGAACUGAAC